GACGAACGCUGGCGGCGCGCUUAACACAUGCAAGUCGAGCGAGAACCCAGGCUUCGGCCUGGGGGAAAGCGGCGAACGGGUGAGUAUCACGUGGGUAAUCUGCCCUCGACAUCGGGAUAGCCCGGGGAAACCCGGAUUAAUACCGAAUGGCCCAUCCGCUCUUCGGAGCGGCUGGGAAAGGUAGCUUCGGCCUCCAGUCGAGGAGGAGCCCGCGGCGGAUUAGCUUGUUGGUAAGGUAAUGGCUCACCAAGGCGACGAUCCGUAGCUGGUCUGCGAGGACGAUCAGCCACACGGGGACUGAGACACGGCCCAGACUCCUACGGGAGGCAGCAGUGGGGAAUCUUGCGCAAUGGGCGAAAGCCUGACGCAGCGACGCCGCGUGCGGGAAGAAGGCCUUCGGGUUGUAAACCGCUUUCAGGAGGGACGAAGCCACUCGGGUUAAUAGCCCAGAGGGUGACGGUGCCUCCAGAAGAAGCCCCGGCUAACUACGUGCCAGCAGCCGCAGUAAGAC
rnacentral:rRNA from 1 species